UCCGGUUUGUCACCGGCAGUCCCAUUAGAGUGCCCAACUGAAUGUGGCAACUAAUGGCAAGGGUUGCGCUCGUUGCGGGACUUAACCCAACAUCUCACGACACGAGCUGACGACGGCCAUGCAGCACCUGUGUUCAAGUUCUCUUUUGAGCACUCUCACAUCUCUGCAAGAUUCUUGACAUGUCAAGGGUAGGUAAGGUUUUUCGCGUUGCAUCGAAUUAAACCACAUCAUCCACCGCUUGUGCGGGUCCCCGUCAAUUCCUUUGAGUUUUAAUCUUGCGACCGUACUCCCCAGGCGGUCUACUUCACGCGUUAGCUGCGUUACCAAGUCAAUUAAGGCCCGACAACUAGUAGACAUCGUUUAGGGCGUGGACUAC
rnacentral:misc_RNA from 1 species